UGGUUAUUAUUAUAGCAGAGAAGACAGCAGUAAAUCAACAAAGACAAGUCAACUGUGCGCCGAUCUACCACUCAAGAGAUCUGACGGACUCAAAAAAAUUCACACCUGCAUAUGUGGCAGCAGACUGUUGGAGGGACUGCAACUGACCACGAUUGCAAUUGUAUUUGGACGCUACAACUCCCAAAGUUUUCCUCCGACUGAGCGAGCCAGGAAACUCUCCUGGACGCCUACCAACUCAGCUACUCUCUUCAUCGAUGAGGACAGCUGUUCCCAC